GAUGAACGCUGGCGGCGUGCCUAAUACGUGCAAGUCGAGCGAACAGACGAGGAGCUUGCUCCUCUGACGUUAGCGGCGGACGGGUGAGUAACACGUGGAUAACCUACCUAUAAGACUGGGAUAACUUCGGGAAACCGGGGCUAAUACCGGAUAAUAUAUUGAACCGCAUGGUUCAAUAGUGAAAGACGGUUUUGCUGUCACUUAUAGAUGGAUCCGCGCCGCAUUAGCUAGUUGGUAAGGUAACGGCUUACCAAGGCGACGAUGCGUAGCCGACCUGAGAGGGUGAGCGGCCACACGGGCACUGAGACAGUGCCAAGCCCCCGAGGGGAGGAAGAAGGGGGAAUUUUCCCGAAAUGGGGGAAAGCCGGAAGGAGAAACCCGGGGUGAUGAAGAAAGUUUUUGGGACUUAAAACCUUUGUUAUGGGGGAAAAAAAAAUGGUAAAGAACAUAUGCCCGUUGGGAGGUACCCAAACAGAAAGCCACGGGAAAACUACGGC
rnacentral:rRNA from 1 species